UUUAGAGUUUGAUCCUGGCUCAAGACGAACGCUGGCGGCGCGCCUAACACAUGCAAGUCGAACGAGCGAGAGAGAGCUUGCUUUCUCAAGCGAGUGGCGAACGGGUGAGUAACGCGUGAGGAACCUGCCUCAAAGAGGGGGACAACAGUUGGAAACGACUGCUAAUACCGCAUAAGCCCACGACCCGGCAUCGGGUAGAGGGAAAAGGAGCAAUCCGCUUUGAGAUGGCCUCGCGUCCGAUUAGCUGGUUGGUGAGGUAAUGGCCCACCAAGGCGACGAUCGGUAGCCGGACUGAGAGGUUGAACGGCCACAUUGGGACUGAGACACGGCCCAGACUCCUACGGGAGGCAGCAGUGGGGAAUAUUGCACAAUGGGGGAAACCCUGAUGCAGCGACGCCGCGUGGAGGAAGAAGGUCUUCGGAUUGUAAACUCCUGUUGUUGAGGAAGAUAAUGACGGUACUCAACAAGGAAGUGACGGCUAACUACGUGCCAGCAGCCGCGGUAAAACGUAGGUCACAAGCGUUGUCCGGAAUUACUGGGUGUAAAGGGAGCGCAGGCGGGAAGACAAGUUGGAAGUGAAAUCCAUGGGCUCAACCCAUGAACUGCUUUCAAAACUGUUUUUCUUGAGUAGUGCAGAGGUAGGCGGAAUUCCCGGUGUAGCGGUGGAAUGCGUAGAUAUCGGGAGGAACACCAGUGGCGAAGGCGGCCUACUGGGCACCGACUGACGCUGAGGCCCGAAAGUGUGGGUAGCAAACAGGAUUAGAUACCCUGGUAGUCCACACUGUAAAC
rnacentral:rRNA from 1 species